GUGUGAACUUUAGCUUGUGCGGUUGUAGACAGGAGUAGCUAGCAUGCUAACGUCAAUAAACCUGUUGUGAUAAGUCACAUAUCAAGUAACAGUUACAGAGCGCUGGUAUUGAAGUGUGACUCAACGCGACUGCCAUUCGUGGCGGUGUAAUGCGAAGGAAAUCAAGGUGAUCGGGGCGGGGAACACGGGACAAGGGCUCCUGACGGUCAUCGGCAUCGACCAUCCAAAUAUCAUCAUGACGCAGGAGGGAGUCCUCUAGUGGAGGGGAUACACACAUACAGACAAGCCCAGAAAAAUUAGCAGUGUGUUAUGUUGCCGAGUUGCUGAGCUACACAAUUUGUUUGCGCCGACUGGGCUGGACAAGAGCUGGAUCGACCACUCGGAGGCGCUGCAAUGAAGAUUUCUACAGUGACCGACUGGGCCAGGUUCAGAGGGGGAGACAAACCUCUCCGAGGGCGCCCCACUGCACCGUUUUUUUCAUCUUCUUAAAUUGACUUUUAUUCAUUCCAACACUGUAAUUUUAUAUUGUGUCAAAUGCUGCCGACUCGGCAUCCAUUGCAGCCUGGUCAUCUUGGAAGGCGGAUUCUCCCUUCUGCUGCCCAUUCUCAAGGUUUCUCAUUUCUCCCUAGAUGAUUUUUUUUAGAAGUUUUUCCUUGUCCUACUGGGGGUCAAGACCAAGGGAUUUAGUUAAUAUUUGUCAACUGUGGGCAUGCGAGGUCCUUUGAGAGUGGUUGUGAUUAAGGGCUAUAUAAAUAAAUGUGACUUGACUAAGGUUGUGCUGUGUAGCCGGUGUGGAUAAUACAAGUGGCUUGAAAGGAGGCGUCGGAAUCGUUUAACAUCAAAGAUACAGCAAUUGAGAGUCCUGUUUUUCUGCAAGCCUCGGGGCAUGAGGCUAUUUUUAUCGGCACUUACUCAGCUCUUUUCCUACGGGCCACACCAGCAGUUAACUAUAGUGAGCCUAUAAAGACAAUUCCAAAAACACCUUUCGCUGAUACAAUUUUAUCUGCAGGUUAGGUGUGUAAAAAAAGAAAAAAAAGUCAAUUUGUGGGCCUUGCAAACACAGAAUAUGCACUGUAGCCUGCCCACUCCUGUCAAUAGAAAAACAUGCAUCUUAAUCAGGAUCUAGUUUUCUCAUUUCAGACUUGUGAUUGGCUUGCUAUGUUUCACAUUAUCAUUCCAAACUGAUUGAUUUUUGUAUUACAAUUUCAGUGGCAAACUGUAAACACGACCAACAGAGCAUCAAGUAUCAUUGAAAUAAAAUGUGGGGACUGCAGUGUGGACGGUGUAGACUGGCUUGCACGUCUGCCUCCCAGUGCAGAGGUCACGGGUUUGAAUCCGGGUACUCCGGUUUUCCUCCCACAUUCCAAAGACAUGCAUGUUCGGGUUAACUGAACACUAUAUAUUUCCUAGGUGUGACUGGGAGUUGAAAUGGUUGUUGUUUGUUUAUGUGUGCCCUGCCAUUUGGCUGGCAGCCAGUUCAGGGUCUCCCUCGCUUGCUCCAGCAUGCCCAUCACCCUUGUGAGGAGAAGUGGAUCAGAUCAUGGAUGGUUGGAUGAACUGCACUAUGACUGCAGUCGCCCAUCACUUGGAUUGCUCGUCACUUUGAAUAGAAUCCUGGAAUCUGAGUUUAGGCCAAAUGACUUCAAUUCAGUCAUGGCACACACUUGGAGAGCAGAGGAGAAAAGAGUGCCACCGUGAAGACUGCUGAAUGGGUGUUGGGACAGUUCCAAAUACAGACUGCAAUUACUCUCUUCAAAGCUCUUUAACAUUUGAAAGUAGGUGGUCCACUGCAAAUGCAGUGCUGUGAAAAUCUAUUUGCUCCCUUCCUGAUUUCCGUGUUCUUUACAUACAUAUCACAUAUAAUGGUUUCAGUUCAUAAAACCAAUUCUAAUUAGCAUAGACACGACCCAAGAACAUAGAAAAUGCAGUUUUUAAUGACGAGUGAUUUUAUUAAGGGACCCCCCCCCAAAAAAAUUAGAAAACGACCUGUCCCAGUAUUUGAAAAAUUGCCCGCCUUUGCCUUGUUAAAUCACAAAGUAACUGUGACUCGUGACAGUUUUAGGAAAGCUGAGUUCAAUUUUAGAGGAAACAAUCGAGCACCACAUUUGUUGAAUCAAGAAAUUACAUAAAUAAAAUCUGUCAGACAAAGUGAAAUAGGCUACAAGAUCUCAAGAAACAAAUGCAUCAUGUCAUGAUCUGAAGAAAUUC